UCGUUCAAUGUGUAGUUAUUAAUAUGUUUUGAAUGUUAGAGAGGAAAGAUAUUUUUAGUGUUUUUAAAUUUCCAUCAUAACUACAGCAAGUUUUGUUGAUGAUCGAAACGGGUUGACGAUCAUAUAUAUGUUUUUAAUUUCAAAUAAUUCAAAUGAAUUAGUCAUGAUUAAGGACAACCCAAUUGUUUUGUAUGUGAUCAAACAAUAAAUGUCCGAAACGUCGACAAAAUUCAACUGGGCU